rnacentral:rRNA from 1 species
GGGGAUUCGAGUUAACUCCCAAACCCCUGUGACAUACCUUAAUGUUGCCUCGGCGGAUCAGCCCGCGCCCCGUAAAACGGGACGGCCCGCCAGAGGACCCAAACUCUAAUGUUUCUUAUUGUAACUUCUGAGUAAAACAAACAAAUAAAUCAAAACUUUCAACAACGGAUCUCUUGGUUCUGGCAUCGAUGAAGAACGCAGCAAAAUGCGAUAAGUAAUGUGAAUUGCAGAAUUCAGUGAAUCAUCGAAUCUUUGAACGCACAUUGCGCCCGCUGGUAUUCCGGCGGGCAUGCCUGUUCGAGCGUCAUUUCAACCCUCAAGCCCCCGGGUUUGGUGUUGGGGAUCGGCUCUGCCUUCUGGCGGCGCCGCCCCCGAAAUACAUUGGCGGUCUCGCUGCAGCCUCCAUUGCGUAGUAGCUAACACCUCGCAACUGGAACGCGGCGCGGCCAUGCCGUAAAACCCCAACUUCUGAAUGUUGACCUCGGAUCAGGUAGGAAUACCCGCUGAACUUAAGCAUAUCAAUAGGCCGGAGAGAGAUC